rnacentral:lncRNA from 1 species
UGGAUGAUUGUGAUUGUAUAGGCUUCCUGACACUGUCUGAAAGAUAAACACUUCACUUCUUUGCAAUGGUUGCCAAGUUAGAUAGUGAAACAAAAUUAGGGUACCAUGUAAUCUGGCUGUGUAGUAAACUGAGGUUACCAUGUGGUUUCCUUAAUCAUUAGUUGAUCGUAAAGUGUGAAAUGUCACUGAGGUUACCAUUGUUCAUGUCUGGAUUGUGCAGAGUGUUGUCAUGCCAAAUGCCAGUGUCAUUUUUUUUAAUCCCAUGGUGCUAUACAAGAUGCAGUGGUUUUUAAU